UUACGGCUAUAUCACAUUGCAAAACCGGUUCCCGUACAAUCACCGAAGUUAAGCAAAGUCGAGCUUGGUCAGUAACAAGGUGGGUGACAGCUUGGAUGUACUUGUGAUGU